GGCCGUCCGGCCCGGGCGGGGCGCGCGGGGCUGUCGUUCUCGCUGUACGAGCACGCGUUCCUGCUGCGCGGCGGCGA
rnacentral:tRNA from 1 species